UAACGGGCAGCACUGACUGGCUUAAGUCUAAAUUACAUGUCCUUUUUUCUAGGUUUGGGCAGAAGCUCUCAAAUUGAUGGGUGCAGGAGCAUAGCUCAUCCAAUGAAAAUAAGAACUAUAGUUGGGAGAAAUAUUGAAAAGUCGAGAAGUCAAAGGUUUGGACACAGCUGGCUUUGCCUGUGAGUGAAUGAGAAGACCCAAGAUAAAAGACCUUUCACUUCCCAACGCAGACUGACUAGAGCAUAACCAAGGUUAAUUUACAAAACAGUGUGAUGGUCGACCCUGAUCACGCUUAGCACAUUAAUCUUGUGUCUAAGUGGCAGACUGUGGAAAAUCUUGCCUCACUCACCUUAUGCAAACACUCCACAUAAAACAAACAUGAGGUAAAAAUUAAAAUCACAUCCAUAGUACUGUAGAGUGGCUAAGAACAGAGAUAGUAGAAGCAGAUUUUCUGGGUUCAAGUCCAGUCUCUGCCCUACGCAUCUCUAUGACCUUGGGUAAUUUCUUCAUCUUCUAUGCCUUGGUUUCUAGGCUUAUAAAAUGUGAAUAGUAAUAAAACUUACCGCAUGAGAUUAUUAGGUUGAAAGAGUUAACAUGACCUAGAAUAACAGCUGCAUUUCUUUGUUUGUGAGGCUAUUUGCCCAUUUCCUCUGCCUUUAACUGAUGUCUUGGGUUUUUACGUUGUAAUAAAUAAUACCUAGAUAUCAAAAGCAAUGAAAUCUGAACUGGAAAAAAAAAGUACAUACAUAAUUAAAAAAGCAAAAGGAUU
rnacentral:lncRNA from 1 species